rnacentral:sRNA from 1 species
UCGAGGCAAGACGUGCGCCCGAGCCCCGCUGAACCGAGGCCACCCGGAGCCGUGCCCGGCGGCCUCAAGAACCCGGCAACCUCUGCCUUCUUCCCUCUUCCACUCGGAGUCGCGCUCCGCGCGCCCUCACUGCAGCCCCUGCGUCGCCGGGACCCUCGCGCGCGACCGCCGAAUCGCUCCUGCAGCAGAGCCAACAUGCCCAUCACUCGGAUGCGCAUGAGACCCUGGCUAGAGAUGCAGAUUAAUUCCAACCAAAUCCCGGGGCUCAUCUGGAUUAAUAAAGUGAGUGUAACUCUUUGGGUUUUCCUGCCACUGUUUUAACCCAUGUACUUCUGGAGGGACCAAAGCUUCAGAUGCAGCUCAAAAAGGGAAGUGAUAACGGGACAAGCAGGUGUUUCUCCCAGUGGGUCCUGCAUGCAGGGAGUGUGCACGGCCCAGCCUGGGCCUCACUUGCAUGACUCCUGCCUUCUUCCCUUCUUGAGGUAGGGCACCCACCUGAAGGCACUUCCAGUUUCCAGCAGCAAGACUUUCCAGCAUCUGCAGAGCUGGAGUUCUGCUCUCCUCUAAGUGAGACCCUUACAAACAUACACAGCACUCUGCAGGGCUCCAAUCGAACAAAUAGAAGACUGAGAAGUGGAUGCUGCUGGGCAGAAACGUGGCUGGCUUAGCAGAGGACAAACGAAUUAAUCUUGCACCAGUCACUCUGGCCCAAGAAGCCUAUAGCUGGUGCACUUGGGGCAACAUAGACCCUAUAGACUUAGUAGCAAUGAUAGUAUUCAUAAUAAUAGCUAAUGCUUACUGAACACUCCCUGUGUGCCUGGCACCUGCUAAGUAUGUUAUUUACAUUGUGUCAUUUAAUCCUCGCAGUAGUCCUGUGGGGUAGAUCUUACUAAUGUCAUCAUUUUCAGAUAAGUGAACAGAGGCACUGAGAGGUAGAUCAUAAGAUCACACAAAAAGUGAUGAAGCCAAGAUUUGAACUUGAACGGUCUGACUCAGAAAUCUU